rnacentral:rRNA from 1 species
GACGGAGGGUGCUAGCGUUGUUCGGAAUUACUGGGCGUAAAGGGCGCGUAGGCGGCUACGGCAGUCGGGUGUGAAAGCCCGGGGCUCAACCCCGGAACGGCAUCCGAUACUCUGUGGCUAGAGACCGGAAGAGGUGGGUGGAAUACCCAGUGUAGAGGUGAAAUUCGUAGAUAUUGGGUGGAACACCGGUGGCGAAAGCGGCUCACUGGUCCGGUACUGACGCUGAGGUGCGAAAGCGUGGGGAGCAAACAGG